UUUCUUUGCUGUCCUCUCAAAGAGGUUAAAUAUUAUUUUCAUAAUGAGUUAUAAUUGAGAAGUUUUCUCAUGUCAAAUAUAAAAACAAAAUAAUAUAGUUCAUUGACUCACUUAUGUCUUACCAGCCUUUUUAUUACAAAUUAUUGUAUAGUCAACACUUUAAAGUGUGUCCUAUUUUUUCCUAAGUUUUAUCAAUAGAUGAUGAUAUUGAUGAUGAAAUGUGUGAUGAUGAUCAUUUAAAGGCUUAUUUUGAAUAACUGGCAAUUCCAUGAGUGACGGCAUUAAACAUAUGAAGAUCUAGAAGGACUGGAACCUCCAGAAAAAGACUGGAUAUUACCUGCAAGUGCUCCUAGUCAGGAAUGUUCCAGUCUUUAUGGCUUUUCCAAAAUUUGACAUUAGAAAAUCACUAUCAUUCUCAUUGGAUGUUCACAUGAAAUUUAAGCCUCUGGUUUUCUUUGGACUCCAUUUUUUUCCAGAGUGAUUCGCAGUCUAGAUACAUCUGAUUGCUCCCCUGCCUGGACUAGAUGAGAUUAAGCAUUUUUGCAAGAAUACAGAUGAAACAGUUUCCAAUGAGUGGAUUCAGAUUAAACAUGGGCAGCGUGGUGUACUUCUCAUUGCCUCACACCAGGAGACGUUUGAGUCUGUCUGUCCCAUGAUGUGUGAUGCUGUAUUUGGUGAUUUUGGCUAAGGUGGAGUCAGCUAGACAUCUCUUUGUGAAGGCAAAUAAAAACCGCAGUUUAAACUCUACGUUUCAAUCAGAACCUGGGACUAGAAAAUGCAAGAAAAUAUGUUCCGGUGAAGACCCUCAGGCUACCAGUGUGACACUCAGCUCUGUUAAUUUUCAUGAUGCAAAUGCCCACAAAAGUGGUUUUGACCUGACUGACCCUGUAUGAGGAGGCACAGUCUCCUCACCAGCAUAAGCACGUGGCAUCAGAUGCGGAGACAGUUGUGGACACGGAUGGAUGUUUACACACUGAGACUCCUUCAGUGUCCCUUCAAGAAAAUGUGGACACAGUGUCUCUGAAGCCUAUUAGUGACCAUAGAAAUAAUUUCACUAAUACCUUUCGGUCACCAACUUGUGAAAAGAGAACAUGUGAAUAUCAUGAGUCCGUUGAAAAAAGACAAGUGAUACCACCAAUGAGAUGAGCACCACAAUUAUUCAAGCCAGCCCAGCCCCAUCCGAGGAAUAGGCUGUGGAAAAAUUGAGAGAAAAAGUUUCAUUUCAGAAUAUAGGAAAAGGAACAUAAAGGAACAUUACCAUCUAUGAUCCCAAACAACUCUGAUAUGAAAAAAUGACUGCAACUACUUCUCUGAGUAGCAAGCCUAAAGAUGUAAAACCUAACCUUAGAUCGAGUGAAGAUCCUUCCUCCAAAAGUGGAGAUCUGUUGGAACCCAGUGUGGUGGAUUGGACGUCAAACCUCAAGAAAGUGGACCCGAUCAGGCUGGCUCUCCUGAGCAAGUCAGGUCUGAGUCGUCAGACGGGGUCAGCUGCUCACACCUCCUUGUGUCCUGUCAGGAGACUGUAGAUGAUGAUCAAAGAAUCAUCACUAAAGCUACGUCAACUGCACGUAGUGAGCUCAGAGGCCAGGACCUGUUCCCAGCAGAACCAUUCAUGGCUCUGCAGCUGAGACACAGAACAUGCCUGUUGCGGUGCCUGCACUCUUGAUGUGACCCCUCCCAGCACAGCUUCCUUCAGCAGGAGGUAUUUAAGAACACUCCCUUCAGCUGGAAGUGUCGCCUUGCCUCAGUGCCAGGCUGGCAGGGCCAUAGCCUGUAGCUUCUCAGGAGACCUUCCCUAUCCAGCUGUCACGGGAGAGCAUUUGCAGAACUCUGUGGCUGUGGAAUUUGGGACCAAAUACUGGCUCUGGAUGGAUGGGUACCUCUUCCAUCUGCAACCCAUAUUCUGAUACCUCACGUCAGAACCUGCUAAGCACAGCGAAACCUUUUCCUGUGCAUUCUAUUGGUACGAACUGGAAAGAAAGCACGAGACUUAGGAAUGACAUCAGCAUUGGACUUUCUUGCAAAAAUGCCUGUUCGGGAUUCCUCAGAGUGCAGAUAAAAAGGAAGGCUUGAUCAGCAUAUGGUAGAUCUGAAGAUUCAAAGAAGUGCCAUGGCUCAAAAGUAGACACUUUGGUAAAUGUGAAGAAGUGAGAUUCAAUGAAGAUGAUCAAGAAAUGAAGGUGUCACCAGAAGUGGGCAUGUGUAGCUAUGCUUGUCACACAAAAUGGGCUUUCAGUCAAAAAAGCACAAAAAUAGAAAAUAAAGGUAAAAUGAUAAAGGGAUCAAUUCAGCAAGAAGGUAGGACAGUUGUCAAUGUAAACACACCUGACACGGGAGCCCCAGUUAUUAAAGUAAGAGUUAUUCGAGCAACAGACAGAGACAGACAAUAAUAGCUGGGGACUCCAACACCCACUUUCAGCAACAGACACACCCUCUAGGCAGAAAAACGACAAAGACCAGACUGACUCCAAGAUAAGACAAAGGGACCUCACAGGUAAUUAGAGAACAUUUCACCCACCAACUGCAGAAUGUGCAUUCUUCUCAUCAGCUCACAUAACAUUCUCCAGGAUAGACCACACUUUAGGCCACAAAACAAAUCUCAAAAAAGCAUUUAAAAAAUGAAAAUCAUAGCAAGUAUCUUCUCAGACCAAAAUGGCAUAAAAUUAAAAGCCAAUAACAAGAGAAACAUUGGAAACUCUCCAGGUACAUGGUAUAUAAAUAAUGGUAAUGGUCAGUGAAGAAAUCAAAAAGGAAAGUAAAAACAUUUCUUGAAAAAAAAAAAGGAAACAAAACAGAAAAAAACAUAGGUAUUUUUGAAGUAAAAAAUGCAGAACAAUAAAACAAUUCAAAGAUAGAAUAAAAUAAA